rnacentral:lncRNA from 12 species
AAUUUGUGUAUGAAAGCUAGGAGUUCAUGAUUAAAUAUCUUGUUUUCCCUUACAGAUACUGUACGAGAAACAACUGCAGCUCAACAAGCGCUUUUGGUGGCUAAAAACAUUGACUUGUUUCCAACAAAUCAAGAACGUUUUACUGAAGGAAAUAUAGAUGUGUGGUGGAUUGUUCAUGAUGGUGGUAUGCUGAUGUUGCUGCCUUUUCUCCUUCGACAGCACAAGGUUUGGAGAAAAUGUAAAAUGCGUAUCUUCACCGUGGCUCAAAUGGAUGACAAUAGCAUUCAAAUGAAGAAGGAUCUUCAGAUGUUCUUAUACCACCUUCGACUGAAUGCUCAAGUGGAAGUUGUAGAAAUGUUUGAAAAUGAUAUUUCUGCAUUCACAUAUGAGAAGACACUUAUGAUGGAACAGCGAUCUCAGAUGCUAAAACAGAUGCAGCUAUCAAAGAAUGAAAGAGAAAGGGAGGUAGGAACUUCAACUUGACAGGAUGUUCUGUCAAAAAUCAGAAAGUACUGUCUUUUGACUGUAUCUUCUUAUCAGUUUCUAACUAGUCAAAAACUUUCAUAACUGCAUUGUGUUUCUCUACAAUCAGUUUUACUCGCAAGGUUAAAGUUAUGUGGAG